UACGUAGGGACCAAGCGUUGUUCGGAUUUACUGGGCGUAAAGGGCGUGUAGGUGGUUGUGUAAGUCUGGCGUGAAAUUUUUCGGCUUAACCGGGAAAGGUCGUCGGAUACUGCAGAACUAGAGGACGGUAGAGGCGUGUGGAAUUCCGGGGUGUAGUGGUGAAAUGCGUAGAGAUCCGGAGGAACACCAGUGGCGAAGGCGACACGCUGGGCCGUACCUGACACUGAUGCGCGACAGCAUGGGGAGCAAACAGG
rnacentral:rRNA from 1 species